rnacentral:rRNA from 1 species
GACGAACGCUGGCGGCGUGCUUAACACAUGCAAGUCGAACGGAAAGGCCCUGCUUGCAGGGUACUCGAGUGGCGAACGGGUGAGUAACACGUGGGUGAUCUGCCCUGCACUUCGGGAUAAGCCUGGGAAACUGGGUCUAAUACCGGAUAGGAGCCAUUUUUAGUGUGAUGGUUGGAAAGUUUUUUCGGUGUAGGAUGAGCUCGCGGCCUAUCAGCUUGUUGGUGGGGUAAUGGCCUACCAAGGCGGCGACGGGUAGCCGGCCUGAGGGGGUGGACGGCCACAUUGGGACUGAGAUACGGCCCAGACUCCUACGGGAGGCAGCAGUGGGGAAUAUUGCACAAUGGGCGCAAGCCUGAUGCAGCGACGCCGCGUGGGGGAUGACGGCCUUCGGGUUGUAAACUCCUUUCGCUAGGGACGAAGCUUUUUGUGACGGUACCUAGAUAAGAAGCACCGGCUAACUACGUG